rnacentral:rRNA from 1 species
UACGAAGGGGGCUAGCGUUGUUCGGAAUUACUGGGCGUAAAGCGCGCGCAGGCGGCUAUCCAAGUCAGUGGUGAAAGCCCGGAGCUCAACUCCGGAACUGCCAUUGAAACUGUUUAGCUUGAGGAUGAGAGAGGUGAGUGGAAUUCCCAGUGUAGAGGUGAAAUUCGUAGAUAUUGGGAAGAACACCGGUGGCGAAGGCGACUUACUGGACACAUAUUGACGCUGAGGUGCGAAAGCGUGGGGAGCAAACAGG